rnacentral:sRNA from 1 species
AUGCAUGGUGAACAGGGGGCAACCCAUAUCUGGUAAAUUGACCUUUGGAUGUCCUGACCCGUUUUCACGAUAAAACAAAACGGCACAGGCUCUGUCUGAUCAACGACGUUCAUCAACGGCCACUUAGCGGAUAACUGCUUCAUUAGCCACCUUCUUCAAGAUAUUUUCCUGCUGCAUACACCCAAUUUUUUCGAUUAGCUCACUGUCACCGAAUCAGAAAGUCCGCUGCAUCACCUACAGCGGCCAUCGUUGAGCCUUCGGACUGAGAAGAUGGGCAGCACAACCCAAGCUACACAAUGUCCUGUACCAAAUGGACCAACAACAACUGCCUUCUCCAUGCCGACCCCUUUGCAAUAUGCUGCCAAACUACAACAAGUAGCGGUGGUCGUUGUUUGAAGACUAUCCAAAGCUAUGAUCAGUCCACUUGCAGUGGUGCAGCGAAUCAAGCCCGCAGCUGUGCCGCGACGCCCUGAAGUUUGGCAUAUCAGAGGGCAUCCCCACGAGAUUCAGUUUGACCUGAACCACAUCCACGCCACGCCUUGCUGCUUUUAUGCAGCUGCUCAUCGAGCUUCGGUUGCAAGCCUAUAGCCGUCGAUUCCUGUUCGGCCUGUCGCUGCUUUCUGUACAAGUCAUCCACUCUCGGAUGGCAGUGGGGUUCAAUUGAAUCCUACGGACCAGUCGGGAGAUAAAUAAUGUAUUCCGAUGCUGUUGCAGAAUUCAAUCGUUUCGCCUCCACAAGCACCCACAAAAGACAAUCGAAACGCGGGUCUGCUUAUAUUUUAUUGAACCGGU